rnacentral:misc_RNA from 1 species
AAGGAUCAUUAACAAAUAGACCGGUGCUCACGCACAGGCAGAGGGCGGGGCCAUCCCCCGCCUUCUGUGGUAACCCUUUGUGAAAACCCCCCGUUGCCUCGGCGGCACACCCCCGCGCGGCUUAGCUGCGCGGGGGCGGUCAGCCCGCCGGCGGCACCCACCAAAACCCAUAACCAUUUUGAAGAAGCUGUCUGAAACUAAAGUCGAAUGACUAUAAAACUUUCAACAACGGAUCUCUUGGUUCCC